rnacentral:tRNA from 1 species
GGGCCGGUAGCUCAGCCUGGCUAGAGCACUUGACUUUUAAUCAAGGGGUCGCGAGUUCGAAUCUCGUCCGGCCCA